AAAAACUUAGUUAAAAUUUAUAACAUUGGCUUGUCAAGCCAAAAUUAUUAGAAUCAAUAGUUUUUA
rnacentral:tRNA from 1 species